GUGAUUUGCAAGUUAAAUGGGUGAUUGUCAAAGAGAAAACGCGUGAUUUUCUCUUAAAUGGGGGAUUGUCAGAGAGAAAACGCGUGAUUUUCGGUCUAAAUGGGGGAUUCUCGAAGAGAAAUCGCGUGAUUUUCGCUUAAAUGGGGGAUUCUCGAAGAGAAAACGUGUGAUUUUCGGGUUAAAUGGGGAAUUGUCGAAGAGAAAACGCGUGAUUUUUGCUUAAAUGGGGGAUUUGCGAAGAGAAAACGCGUACUUUUUCGGUUAAAUGGGGGAUUCCCAAAGAGAAAACGCGUGAUUUUCGGCUUAAAUGGGGGAUUCUCGAAGAGAAGACGCGUGAUUUUUGCGUUAAGUGGGGGAUUUCUGAAGAGAAAAUGCGUGAUUUUCAGGUAAACUCGGUGAUUCUCAAAGAGAAAACGCGUGAUUUUUUGGGUAUAGUGGGGGAUUCUUGAAAAGAAAGCACUUGAUCUUCGCUUAAAUGUGAGCUUCUCAAAGGGAAAACGUGUGAUUUUCGCUUAAAUGGCGGAUUUCCGAAUAGAAAACGCGUGAUUUUCGAGUUAAGUGGGGGUUUCUCGAUGAGAAAACGCGUGAUUUUCAGUUAAAUGGCGGAUUUCCAAAGAGAAAACGUGUGAUUUGCAAGUUAAAUGGGUGAUUGUCAAAGAGAAAACGCGUGAUUUUCUCUUAAAUGGGGGAUUGUCAAAGAGAAAACGCGUGAUUUUCGGUUAAAUGGGGAAUUGUCGAAGAGAAAACGCGUGAUUUUUGCUUAAAUGGGGGAUUUGCGAAGAGAAAACGCGUGAUUUUUCGGUUAAAUGGGGGAUUCCCAAAGAGAAAACGCGUGAUUUUCGGCUUAAAUGGGGGAUUCUCGAAGAGAAAACGCGUGAUUUUCACUUAAGUGGGGGAUUCUCAAAGAAAAAACGCGUGAUUUUCUCUUAAAUGGGGGAUUCUCGAAGAGAAAACGCGUGAUUUUCACUAAAAUGGGGGAUUCUCGAAGAGAAAACGCGUGAUUUUCGGGUUUAAAUGGGGGAUUUGUGAAGAGAAAAUGCGUGAUUUUUGGGUUAAAUGGGGGAUUGUCGAAGAGAAAACGCGUGAUUUUUGCUUAUAUGGGGAAUUUCCGAAGAGAAAACGCGUGAUUUUUUGGUUAAAUGGGGGAUUGUCGAAGAGAAAACGCGUGAUUUUUGCUUAAAUGGGGAAUUUCCGAAGAGAAAACGCGUGAUUUUUGGGUCAAAUGGGGGAUUCUCGAAGAGCAAAUGCGUGAUUUUUUCGCUUAAAUGGGGGAUUGUCGAAGAGAAAACGCGUGAUUUU
rnacentral:lncRNA from 1 species